rnacentral:rRNA from 1 species
UACGUAGGGUGCGAGCGUUAAUCGGAAUUACUGGGCGUAAAGUGUGCGCAGGCGGCCGCGCAAGUCGAGUGUGAAAGCCCCGGGCUUAACUUGGGAAUUGCGCUGGAAACUACGUGGCUGGAGUGUGGCAGAGGAAGGUGGAAUUCCACGUGUAGCGGUGAAAUGCGUAGAGAUGUGGAGGAACACCAAUGGCGAAGGCAGCCUUCUGGGCCAACACUGACGCUCAUGCACGAAAGCGUGGGGAGCAAACAGG